AGAGGGUGCGAGCGUUAAUCGGACUUACUGGGCGUAAAGGGGGUCUAGGUGGGUUCCUAAGUCAGAUGUGAAAACUCCGGGCUUAACCCGGAACCUGCAUCUGAUACUGGGGAUCUUGAGCACGGUAGAGGAGAGUGGAACUUUCAGUGCAGCGGUGGAAUGCGUAGAUAUUGAGAGGAACACCAUUGGCGAAGGCAGCUCUCUGGGCCGUUGCUGACACUAAAGCCCGAAAGCUGGGGUAGCAAACAGGAUUAGAUACCCCGGUAGUCCUAGCCGUAAACGAUGGGCACUAGAUGUUUCCCGCUUUUAGCGGAGGUGUCGAAGCUAACGCAUUAAGUGCCCCGCCUGGGGAGUACGGUCGCAAGGCUG
rnacentral:rRNA from 1 species